CCGUGUACACACUCGUCACCUCGUGCACAUGACUUUCAACACAUUUCAAUAAUCACAUCAAUACCAAUUCUAGGGAAAAUUUCCCCCACAUAAGGUUAGACAAGUCACUUACCUCGACUUGCUCCAAUUUAAUCAAGUAUUAUGCUUUUUCCUCGAUUUUCUGACUCCGAUCGACUCAUAUCUAGUCAUAAUUAAUUCGAUACAGUCAACAAAAAUUAUAGUAAUCAAUUUCAUAAGAAAAUAUUACAUUUUCAUUAAAAUCCGAAAUUAGCUCAAAAUUUGCCCGUGGGGCCCACAUCUCAGAAUCCGGUGAAACUUAUAAAAUCCGACAACCCAUUCAAUUACGAGUCCACCCAUUCCAAUUUUACCAAAAUCCGAUAACAACUCGACCUCCAAAUCUUAAAUUUUUGUUUUUGGAAGAUUUUACAAAAAUCUUGAUUUUUCAUCCAUAAAUUCAUGGAUUCAUGAUGUAAAUGAGUAUGGAAUCCUGAAAUAUAAUCAAUAUAGGAUAAAGAAUACUUACCCCAAUGUUUUCCCAUGAAAAUCGCCCAAAAAUCGCCCAAAAACCGUGCUCCACAAAUCCAAAACGAAAUGAAUGAAAUGACCAUUUUUGGUCCUUAAGUUUCUGCCAAUCCGUCACUAAAAGUCCACCAGAAAUAGCUCUACCAGUCUUACUUCAAUCGAUCAUAACCUUAAGUAAAAAUGUCCAAAUGAUAAAUGGUUUACCUUUCUGGAAACUAGAAUCCAC
rnacentral:lncRNA from 1 species